rnacentral:rRNA from 1 species
AUUGAACGCUGGCGGCAGGCCUAACACAUGCAAGUCGAGCGGAUGAAGGGAGCUUGUUCCUGGAUUCAGCGGCGGACGGGUGAGUAAUGCCUAGGAAUCUGCCUGGGAGUGGGGGAUAACGUCCAGAAACGGGCGCUAAUACCGCAUACGUCCUGUGGGGGAAAGCGGGGGAUCUUCGGACCUCACGCUAUCAGCUGAGCCUAGGUCGGAUUAGCUAGUUGGUGGGGUAAAGGCCUACCAAGGCGACGAUCCGUAACUGGUCUGUGAGGAUGAUCAGUCACACUGGAACUGAGACACGGUCCAGACUCCUACGGGAGGCAGCAGUGGGGAAUAUUGGACAAUGGGCGAAAGCCUGAUGCAGCCAUGCCGCGUGUGUGAAGAAGGUCUUCGGAUUGUAAAGCACUUUAAGUUGGGAGGAAGGGAAGUAAGUUAAUACCUUGCUGUUUUGACGUUACCAGCAGAAUAAGCACCGGCUAACUUCGUG